rnacentral:lncRNA from 1 species
UUGAAUUUACAAAUAUAUGUAUACUCCUACAAUCAUUCUUAACUAUUCUUCCAUGCAAGCACAUGACUCGACCAGUUUAGAAAAUUAAUUCGAGUAUCAAAUACAUAAUUCAAUAAGCUACUACAAUUACCUCACGCACUAAUCACUAUGUAUCUUUUUAUAUAUAUAUACACACAUUUGCAACAAGCAAUAGAGGUUCAACUAUAAGGCGAGAGAGUAUAACCAAAGAAUCUUUAUAUACAAUCCUCCAAUGGUGAAAAUCUAUGCGAUCGAUGUCUUGUCUGUAACUCGUACAUUGUGAGAAUCUGGUUUGGUCCGAACCGAAGGGUUUCCUGUAUCAUCGAGAACCACAAAAGCCGUGUCACCGGGCUUAAAGCUCCCAGCAAGAAAGGCUUCGCUGAGUGGAUCUUCCACAAUCUCCGUGACGGUUCUACGUAGUGGUCGUGCACCGUAGGCCGGAUCAUAGCCUUGUCUGCAUAUAAGCUCCUUGACAGGUUCAGACACCUCUAAACCGACUCCAAGUGCCACAAGCCUCGACUUCAAGUCUUGUAACAUCAGAUUCAAAAUCUCCAUCAUCUGCAAAAUCAGAGUUGAAUUUCUUUUUUAAUAUAUUUGCUUCUUCUUUUUUAAAUAGAAGGUUGAAGCCUGUAAUCCCCAGACCCGAAACCUUAUUUUUAAGAUUAAAAGAUAGAUACAAUUACUAACCUGCGCCUGCUCGAGCUGUCUGAAGAUGACGAUUUCGUCAAUACGGUUCAACAACUCUGGACGGAAGUAGUUCUUGAGUUCUUCGACUACCAAAGCUUGCAUGCCUGCAGGUCGACUCUAGAGGAGGACUCUUGUUCCAAACUGGAACAACACUCAACCCUAUCUCGGGCUAUUCUUUUGAUUUAUAAGGGAUUUUGCCGAUUUCGGCCUAUUGGUUAAAAAAUGAGCUGAUUUAACAAAAAUUUAACGCGAAUUUUAACAAAAUAUUAACGUUUACAAUUUUAUGGUGCACUCUCAGUACAAUCUGCUCUGAUGCCGCACAUUUUGCAAGUAGCAGGUGCGUAAACUAUCCACCUUUUUACGCUAUCAAGCUUUUAAAACAAAAGUGUACACUUUCAACACAUUUUUUUUUGACAAAACUUUCAACACAUUUAAAAAUGUUUUUUUGAAGCGUUUUGUAAGCAAGCUUCCAAUUCAAGUUUUAAAGAUGGAAACAUACAUCUGAGAAAGCUUAUAUGCUACUUUGAUUCAUAUAGUGAUAUAUAAAAUCUAUAUUUCUUUAGCUUUUAGAUAUUGAUUUGAGUUUGGAAUUAGAUGAAAAUUAAGUAAAAAAAUAUUAAUUUAGAAAAUCUUAAUUGAUAAUAAUGCUUUAUAUUUUUUUGUCAAAAGGUUUACUACAAAUUUUUAAUGAUUUUAAGUCUAAAGACUAAGUGUAUUUUUUAAAAUCUUAAUUUAUUUAAAUUGCUGUCUACUUUAAUAUAUGCCACAAUAAAUAUCUAGUUUAAAUAUUUGAAUAAUGAUUAAAUAAUUUUAUUACAAUGCAAGAACGAAUCCUAAUCUUAUUUCCAUAAGAAAAUAAAAUUUUGGCUUGAGUCGAAUAAAUUUACAAAAAGAAAUUUGCUUUUCAACUUUCAUUUAGUUCUCUUUAUCAUAUGGCCAAAUUAAAUAAUCAGGCCAAUCAGACCAAAUUAUACAUACAAGAUAAAGAGAAUGGAUAAAAGGAUUCCUAUAAGAUGAGGAAAGAAAAUAUAUAUUAUAGUACAAAAGUGGUAUAUAAUAAAAAUUAUAUUUUGAUAUAUUAAUUUAGUUAUGAUUAGUAAGGACUGUAGCUUUAUAUUUUUUGAUGUAGAAUUUAAUAUGUAGAUUUAUUUAUUGUAGUUUUCAUUGCUGUAGUUUUUUAAAACACUAAUUUUUUGCUCUCGAAAUAAAGUUCUCUAUAGUCUACAGCCAUUUUUAAUUUUCUAGAGAUUUUUUUGAAGUAGUUUUUUUAAAGAAAAAAAAACUUGAUUGGUUGACAUAUAUGACUCUGAACUAAAUUUUGACUUUCUAAAGCAUUUACGGCCACAGCCAAUCACCAUAUUCAAUGACUAUUGAGAAAUGCAACUCACUUGAAGCAUGAUUUUAUUCUCAAUAUCUUUUGGAGAUCACAUAACUCUUAUAGAUAUUAUGGAAAAGUUAAAAAGAGUUUAUGAUAAAUAUCUAACUUACAUGUUAAAAUAAUUAUUAAAUAUUUUUUUUUCAUAAAAUUCCCGCGCAAGCAUGAAGCAUAAUGUUAUUUUCUAUAAGAAAAUAACUAUACUGACAUGAGACAAAUCAAUUUUUCAAAAAUGUUUUAUUUUUCCUUCUUCCAUCUAGUUUUUUCUCAUAUGAUCAAUCAAAACAAAUUACAUACAUUAAUCAAACUAAAUUACAUGCAUGAUAAAAUGACAAACCGAAGGGAUAAUCAGGUUCCUAUAACAUUAAUAAAGAAAAUAUAUAUAUAAAAGAAAAAUAUAUACUAGUGACCAAAUACAAUACAUAUAUAUAUUAGGAAAUAAAAUAAUAUUAUUGACCAAUACCAAAGUAGAAUAAAAUAUUUAUCAUAAAACUCAAUAUUUGACAGUUAUGUUUCCAACAAUUGAUUAGAAGCCCUACACCAUUUUUCUUAUAAAUUGAAUCAUAUUGCAUUACUUAAUUUCAUCAAGAAUCAACUUACAAACAAAUCAUAUCUUGGACAUCUAAGUCUUCUCUUAAUCAUAUCUGGAAACCCCAAGUAUAUUCAUCAUGUCGGUUAAGAAUAUGUUCUUUAUUCUAGUGAGUAUAUGCAUUGCCUCUUCCGUUAAUGCUCAGUUACCGCAGUUUCCUUUUCCGCUUCCAUUUCAACCAAGUCCUGGUAUACCAGGAUUUCCAUUUCCAUUUCCAUUUCCAUUUCAACCAAGUCCCGGUGGUAUGCCAGGAAUUCCUGAUAUGAGAAAAUGUUGGUCAACAUUUAUGGAUAUGCCUGGAUGCUUUGCAGAGAUCAGACAAUCUAUUAUCACUGGAAAAUUUGGUAGUAUAGGUCCAGCUUGUUGUAAAGCUUUCUUAGAUGCUGAAGCCAACUGCACACGCAAUCUUCCAUUCAACCCGUUUUUCCCUCCUAUGGUAAAGGAACAAUGCUCCCGAGCUGCUGAUCCUCCAACAACAUUGUAGGAUUAAGUAUUAGCUACGCGAAAGAUUAAUUACAAAAAAGAAGGCUGUGAUCUAAUAACAAUAUUGUUGCAUUUCCUACGAAUAACAAAAUCUUUAAGCAUUUCAUCUAUUCUAGUAAUAUCUAUUAUUGAAGUUAAAGAAUCAGACAAAUAAAGCAACAUAUUUUGAGAAAUGUAUGAAUCUCAAAACAUGUCCAAUGUUUGGUUGAUGAAUAAAUCCUUGAUCCUUUUAUGUCACAUUAAUCAUACAUUAUACAUUUCGUAACUUUCGAAGUUGUUUAUUUAUAUUAGAUGCCAAUACUUGUUUUUAUGUCAAAUGAUUUUUAAAAUAGUGACUAAUACAAAAUUAAGAAUAUUUAUGCAUAUAUACAUAUGCUUAUUAUUAUUAUAUGAUAAAGAUCAUACAUACAAUAUGUAUUUAUUUGAUAUGAUGGUUACUCAAUGGUAAUGAUUGAAGAGAACAUGGAUCUUUUGUUGAAUAUAGAUGAAAACUCUGUGAUACCAUAAUCAUUAAGGUCAUUCAUCCCUUGGAUUCACCGGUUAUGGAAAAAACGAAAUGUCAUCAUGAUCUUGGUUGGAAACAAAGAUGAUAUUAGACUUGUGGUGUUGAGAGCACAAGCGAAACAGUUGACUGAGAUAAUUAAUAGAGUAUUUAUGCCUGGUGCACAACCAAUUUGGAGCGACAAUGGACGAUACCACGGCUGAAUAUAGGCAACUGCCAGUAUUCAUUCGCCGUGGGUUAAUGCCUCGGCUUUGACUGGUGUUGCUUGGUUGUUGAGUGAUCAGUCUGGUCAGGUUUUGUAUCACAACAAAGAAGCAUUCACUCUCACGAACUGCCAUUUUUUGGUUACGAUGAAGCCUACUUAGUUUGGCUGUUUGUGUUGCGAGAUAUUCACAUCAGUCAAGUAAAAUUUGUAUAACGAUAUGACGGCUCACACUACGUUUUUUCUUCUUAUUAUGUUGGCUUUGUUCGCAUAUUAUAAUAGAAAGAUAAUGUUCUAUUAAUCGCUUACGUUAUUCAACACAUUUGUCUGUUUUCUACCUUCCGUCUUAUUUUAGUUUCAAACUUCACACUUCUUUUGUUCAAAUGGCUUCGAAUGGAACAAGUCAAAGGUAAUGGGUCGGCCUCCAGCCUCAGCUGUCAGCUGUGAGUCCGGAUGGUCAUUGAGUCGCCCAGCUCCAAGUCUUUUUUGUAGAGUCAGUGAGAAUGUUGUUGCUGAAGAAGAUGAGAUUGUAAAAUGGAGUUGGAGGAUUACUCUGUUGAUCCUGAAGAGCUGAGGCAUAGGACAAGCGACGAGAUCGUGACUUAUAGGAUAUAUAAUGCAACUGCAACAUCCAGCUCCUCAACGUGCUAAGCGGCGAGAAUUCUCCACCUCUUGAGACUGAACUAGCAAACUAGACUUGAUAGAGAUAUGAUGUCAACUGGGUGGAUUCUAGAGUCAUAGAUCUGGAAGAUCCUUGCAGUGUCACCGGUCUCAUCUGACUAGGUAAGCGCUCAGUUUGUGAAUAUUCCCCAAAGAAGACCCUCCUGUUGAUGCCAAAGUCAAUAAUCCGUAUAGUGAUGAUAAAACAAAUUUGUAUAAAAUAGCCCAUUGGUCACGGACGGGUGAACAAAAAAUAAGAGAUCACUAACUAGAGAUUAUUAUUUAAAUUAAAAUUGCUCUAGUUACAGUACGUAGCAUAAUAGCGUAAGAAGGUUCACUUAUCUAGACAGAGAAGCGAAACCUCUGUAUACUAAUUGCAGGCCAUAAAUCAAUGAUGAUGACAACCACUUCCUCGUUUCUCUGGUCGUGCUCUCUGCUUCCUUCUCAAGGUUUCUCCUUUUCUAUCUCUCUUAUCUCUCCAUCUCUCUCUCUCUCACUCACUAUUAGUUUUUUUUUUAACAGGGCCAAACCGGCAAACGCAAUGGAAAAGACACGAAAAGGUUCUGUCUUUCAGCCUCUCUUGUUCUCCUAAAUCAACUGUUAAAUUCUAUAUGAAUGGAGCUCUCGUUUCAGUAAUAAGACAGACCAAGGAACCAUGCAUAUGUAGUGUUCGAUGAAAUGCUUGACUGAAUCUUGAACUUGUUAUUUAUUUAAUGGCGCAGAGACAGUUGUCGAGAAAGGUAGCUGUUUCUGGUGUUGUCAGAGCGGGAUUUGAGCUUAAGCCACCUCCCUAUCCUCUUGUACGUUUUUCGUUAUCAAGACCCACCCAGCUUUUCGAUUUUAAUUUUGGUUGAUAGAUUAUGCACAUCAUGUGGUAAAGAAUACUGUAUUAGUACAAAUCUUUGAAGGUUCGCUUUAAUAUGGUAGUUAUGAUGAUGAAAUGUUAUGAAUGUUAAAAGUGCAACGAAGCGUGAAGGGGAGAUGUUGCUCGCUCACUCUGUGUCUGUCUGUCUUUGGCAGGAUGCUCUAGAACCGCAUAUGAGCCGGGAAACACUGGAUUAUCAUUGGGGCAAGCAUCACAAAACUUACGUUGAGAACCUGAACAAGCAAAUCCUAGGCACAGAUCUAGAUGGAUUGUCAUUGGAAGAGGUUGUGCUACUUUCAUAUAACAGAGGCAAUAUGCUUCCUGUCUUCAAUAAUGCCGCACAGGUAAAUAAUGCCAUAUAUCGGUUUUACCCGUUUCUUACCAAGGGGAUUGGAUGUGAACUAAGGUAUAUAUGAGGAGGGGCUUUGCAGGCAUGGAACCAUGAGUUCUUCUGGGAGUCUAUCCAACCCGGAGGUGGAGGAAAGCCAAGUGGAGAUCUCCUCAGACUGAUAGAGAGAGAUUUUGGGUCUUUUGAUGACUUUGUAGAAAGGUUCAAGGCAGCUGCAUCCUCCAACUUUGGUUCUGGUUGGACUUGGCUUGCAUGUGAGUGUUUCCAACUUAUGCGUUCCCUUGCCACUAUUAAAAAAAAAUGCAAACCACCCCAACUUACUUAGGGGAUACACUGAUGCAGACAAGGCGAACAGACUCGAUGUUGCAAAUGCAGUAAACCCGCUUCCAAAGGAGGAAGACAAGAAGCUUGUGAUAGUAAAAACUCCCAAUGCAGUGAAUCCACUCGUGUGGGACUAUUCUGUAAGUGUCUAACUUUCCAAAAAAUGUAGAUGAACGCUGUUGUUAGGUAUUUAUUUUAAUUUCCUCACACGUUUUGUCCAUCUGUUUAUAUGCAGCCACUUCUCACCAUUGAUACAUGGGAGGUAUAACAUAAGCUACUCAUCUUUCACUCUAUGAAUUUCACCUUGGUUUCUUGAUCCCUGACUUAGUUUUCUUCUUGCCUCUUUCUGCAAAACAGCACGCUUACUAUCUGGAUUUUGAGGUACCUUCAAAAUGUUCUCACAAAUUACUGAAAGCAGAGGUUCUCAGUUCUCAUGUUGUUGUGUUUUGCGCAGAACCGAAGAGUCGAAUACAUAAAUACAUUCAUGGAAAAGCUUGUGUCAUGGGAAACUGUAAGCACAAGGCUAGAAUCUGCAAUGGCUCGAGCAGUUCAAAGAGAACAAGAAGGAACUGAUACAGAAGAUGAAGAGAAUCCAGAUGAUGAAGAGCCAGAGGUUUACUUAGAUGAUGCAUCUGAGGAGGUUGACUAACAAAACUGAGAAUCAAUGAUAAACACAUUUAGCUUCUGAACGAAAUAUCAAUUACAGAUCCUAAGCUUUCUGCUUGUUAAGCCCUAAGCUUUAAAUAUAUUUUGUGGUUUCUUUGAAAAACAAAAACAAUAAAUUUUGUGGUUUCUUUGAAAAACAAAAACUGAAUGUUAAAUAUUCUACAUUCCUCCUAUGCGGUCUUGUGAUAAGUUACGAGGGGUCCUGUGAUUGGACAAAGCCAAGUGUCUUUCUACAGAUGGUGAAUGUCUGUAUAGACCAUAUGGCAUUUGAUGUUGCCCAUGAACUGGAGGAGGGUACUCUUGAGGACGUCUCUGUCCGUGAACCGGAGAAUAAGAAUUUGGAGGCAGAUGAUCAUACGCAGACACACUUCUUCCUAACCCACCAGGUGGAACCAUAUAUUCAGGGGAUCUCAUAAGACCUGACCGAUGAGGAAAACCUGAUGAUGGGCCGAGGUAACUACUGACAAGAGCUGAUAUUUCAUCUGCAUCUCCCUCUCUGUGACUAGGGAAGCUUCGGUGGUCGCGGUACAUCGGAGAAUAAGAUGCGGCAGCUGUUGGUGGCAUUUCCAUUUCUGACAACCUUGGACGUUUCAUCUGCUGGUUAUACAAUCUCUCGCUAAUUGCCGCUUCCUCCCUUAUACUGAUGGAUCUCGCUUCCUCCAUUCGACUGAUGGAUCUCGCUUCCUCCAUUCGACUGAUAGAUCUCGCUUCCUCCAUCUGUUUGUCAAGCUGAACAAUGUCUUUCUCAAGCUUGGCCAUUUGCUCUUUGAUCUGCCACCCUGGUACUUCUUUCGCUGGGUCUAACUUGUGAGCUUCCAAACACUUCAUCACUGAUGAUAACGCAUCCAACUGCUUUUCGUUCGCAGUUUUCUGUUGAGAAAAUAAAAAAGCAAACAACGAUAAGAAUCAGAACAGGAAAAAAGAGUUUAUCAAGGUAAACAACGAGUAAAGAAGAGUCAUACAGAUGCCAUGGGUGCUUGUGCUUGACGUUUCGCCCUCUCAAAUGAAUCCUUCCUCAUCCUUAGGAAGGAAGUUAGAAUUGAAGAAGGUGAAAACCUAUCCUCCAUCCCAAAGGUAUAAACCAGCUCAAGAGCUUCAAUAUGCAUUCCACGCUUGAAACUUGAAUCAACUAUACCUAUACGGCCAAAAGAUUAUUGUAUUAAGAUCCUUUUAGUAGACAUUGCUCAAGGCUUAUGUAGUAUGCAACAUAAAAGUCAAAUGAUUUGAACUUGCAAUAUCGAAUGUGCAGCUUUACAACUUGUCAUUGCAUUCUAGAAUGCCAUGUUCUGUCCUAUCUCAUUGCAUGGUACGUAAAAUUCUACUCCCAAAAUCAUAUAAACAACCAAACACAAAGAUGAAAACUUGACUCUAACCCAUUCCACAACAAAAGAAACCACCUUUGUAACGUACUCAAGAAAAGAACAAGGUACCUGACAUCAUAGGGACAAGAAACGGUGACCGUUUAAGAGCACCAACAAUCUCAUCAGUACCACUCUGCCUAAUCAAAUCCAACAAAUCCAUACUCUUAAAGCUCUCCGGAAUCCCAAAACAAGCAACCAACAGAAGCAAACCCCUUGCGUCCAUAGCCUCCGCUGCACCCAACCAUCCUUCACCCACCAGCCUCUUCUUCCACGCAACAGCAGCCGCCUCCGCCUCAUCUUUCACAGAACUAACCAAAAGCUUCUUCUUCUUCUCUCCCUCAGGAUCAAACGUCAGAAGGUAACACUCCAGGAUAAGAAGCGAAACCUUCCUCGCGGUGAUCGCGGGCAAAUCUUUGGCGAAGGCUUUGCGCCCUUGCAAGUAAAACUUCCCGAUGCAGUCCAACACGAACUUCGCCGGGUCCUUGGCCAGCUUCAACGCUCCAGGAAUCUCUUCGAUUAGCUUGGCUCGCUCAGAGAUGUUCACGAACAUGUACCUUCGGAGCUCUUUGCUCCACAUCGACUCGCAGAAUCGCUCCGCUUCGGACUUCUCCUUGGGCGGCGAUUGGCAAGCAAUCGCCGUGGCUGUUUUGUUUUGCGGAGGAGGCGACGCGGCGGCGGUUUCGAUGAUGCCGUUAGUUUUGAGAUUGGAGUCGAUCGCGUUCCCGAUGUAAUCCAUGUGGCUCUGCAGUUCGUCGUAGCGGCGUUUGAAGGCGUCGACUGCGGCUGCUAACGCGGUUAAGUCGACGAUGGAUUUCAAAAACUGAGGAUCGUUAGAUUGUUCGAUCGUGGUUUCGAUGUUUGUAGGCACGGUUUCGACAGUAGCCUGCGCUUCUCUCCGUUGGAUCAUCGCCGAUGAAGGUUGCUCCUCCUCCCUUGUUGAUGGAGCAGGGAGCAGAGAACCAUUACGGACGGCCAUUGGGGAUUGCGGAAGAAGAAGAUUGCAAAAACAGUUGUUGUGUUUAAAUAAAGCCCUAGUUUAUUCGUUCCUCCUCUCGUGACUGUUCAGAAUAUGGCCCUAUUAAUAUCUUUUUGACUCGAAAGUAACCGAAGUCGAUACUAAAAUUUGUAGAUAAAAAAAUCUAAGUGACUGAGAAAUUGCAACUUUUCAAGUCGUACUAUGGAAAAUUUAUAUACUUCAUUCCAAUUUUCCACACUCAAAAAAAAAAAAGAAACUUGAAGAACUGGAACCGUUAUUAAGUUUAUUUGAAAAAAUCGUUAUUAAGUUCGUUAGCAGUGUAUCCUACGAAUAUGUUAGGAAACAUCGUGUUAAUACUAUUUUUGUUUAAUGUUUUUCUUAGCAACCUAUUUUGAUAUUUUAUGACUUACGUAACCAAUAACGUUAUUAUGGAAUCGUCGGUAAUAUUUUUCAUAAUUGGUAACAUUAUAAUUAUCCAACUUAAAAGGAAAUCAAAAAGAUUGAUGUCGAUAUCAAUGAAGUUAAAAUGUUAACAAAAUGUGCUGAUUAGUAGACAUUGAUUAACCGCAAAAUCGCAGAAUAAUUAAUUAGUCGGAAAAUAAAAUUUAAGGGCUGAGAAAUUGCAACUUUUCAAGUGGUACAAUAGGAAAAAUUAUAUAUACUUCAUUCUGUUUUUUCCACACACACAGAAAAAUAAAUAGAAACUCUCAAUGGAGUUGAAAAAUAGAUUUGAUGAUCUAAGAAGCAGAUUCCGAGAGUUCAAGAUAACCUACAUUUCUCGGGAUCAAAAUAGAACCGCGGAUCACUUAGUUAGGACAAUUUUUGUCGUCACAAAAAAAAAACAAGAAUACCUGAUUAUGAAGUACCAAUAAUCUCAUUAGAAAUAAAUAGACUAGCUCCGCCUAGUCUAAAUUAUGCUCAGGUACUUGCAUAGUUUUAUGUUUAUCGAUACUCAAAAUGUGUGUUGAAUUUACAAAUAUAUGUAUACUCCUACAAUCAUUCUUAACUAUUCUUCCAUGCAAGCACAUGACUCGACCAGUUUAGAAAAUUAAUUCGAGUAUCAAAUACAUAAUUCAAUAAGCUACUACAAUUACCUCACGCACUAAUCACUAUGUAUCUUUUUAUAUAUAUAUACACACAUUUGCAACAAGCAAUAGAGGUUCAACUAUAAGGCGAGAGAGUAUAACCAAAGAAUCUUUAUAUACAAUCCUCC